rnacentral:lncRNA from 1 species
GCGGUUUGACCCGGAUGAACAGUAACGCGGUUUGGUUGAAAAUAAUCCUAUGUGAUGCAUGCACCGUACACGAGAUUUUUCGUCCACUGAUAUGCUGCCACGUCACCAUCAACAGUACAUAAGAAUUUUAGUCCAACAGGAUCGUGACACCUCAUCAGUCAAUGCCACAUCAUCGGUCAAUGCCACGUCAUCGAUCCGUCUAUGUGAACAGUGUCAUGAACAGUAACGUAGACAGUACCGUACACGUGAAUACUAC